UUUCAAGGAACUCAGGCUAAGAUCGCCGCGUCCUGCGGCAAUGCCUGAGUGACCAACAUCCUGUUGG
rnacentral:sRNA from 1 species